rnacentral:rRNA from 1 species
CUAGGGCUAAUACGUGCGAAGCGCCCGAAGCCGCGAGGCGACGGGCGUGCUCGCCGGAUACGGAACCGACCCGGGGACCGCCGGGGCAACCCGGCGCCCCCGAGACGGGGCGAACCACGGUGAAACGACGGAUCGUCGGCCCCGCGCCGGCGACUCGCCGAAUGAGUUUCUGACCUAUCAACUCGAGACGGCGGGGUAGAGGCCCGCCGCGGUAACGACGGGUAACGGGGAAUCAGGGUUCGAUUCCGGAGAGGGAGCCCGAGAAACGGCUACCACUUCCAAGGAAGGCAGCAGGCGCGCAACUUACCCUAAUCUCGAUUCGAGGAGGUAGUGACAAGAAAUACCGAUGCGGGACCCUACGGGUGCCGCGUUCGGAAUGAGUACGAUUCGAACCACCUAACGAGGACGAUCGGAGGGCAAGUCUGGUGCCAG